GAUGAACGCUGGCGGCGUGCCUAAUACAUGCAAGUCGAGCGAACAGACGAGGAGCUUGCUCCUCUGACGUUAGCGGCGGACGGGUGAGUAACACGUGGAUAACCUACCUAUAAGACUGGGAUAACUUCGGGAAACCGGAGCUAAUACCGGAUAAUAUAUUGAACCGCAUGGUUCAAUAGUGAAAGACGGUUUUGCUGUCACUUAUAGAUGGAUCCGCGCCGCAUUAGCUAGUUGGUAAGGUAACGGCUUACCAAGGCGACGAUGCGUAGCCGACCUGAGAGGAUGAUCGGCCACACUGGAACUGAGACACGGUCCAGACUCCUACGGGAGGCAGCAGUAGGGAAUCUUCCGCAAUGGGCGAAAGCUUGACGGAGCAACGCCGCGUGAGUGAUGAAGGUCUUCGGAUCGUAAAACUCUGUUAUUAGGGAAGAACAAAUGUGUAAGUAACUAUGCACGUCUUGACGGUACCUAAUCAGAAAGCCACGGCUAACUACGUG
rnacentral:rRNA from 1 species